GGCGGAUGUAGCCAAGUGGAUCAAGGCAGUGGAUUGUGAAUCCACCAUGCGCGAU
rnacentral:tRNA from 1 species